rnacentral:rRNA from 1 species
UCGAGGAUCAUUUGCAAUGGGCGCAAGCCUGACAAUGCGACGCUGCGUGGAGGAUGACGGCCUUCGGGUUGUAAACUCCUGUCGUCCGGGAACAAUAUCGGGAGGGUUAAUAACUCUGCCGGUUGAUGGUACUGGAAAAGGAAGUCACGGCUAACUCUGUGCCAGCAGCCGCGGUGAUACAGAGGUGGCUAGCGUUGUUCGGAUUUACUGGGCGUAAAGGAUGCGUAGGUGGCUUUGUGUGUCAGAUGUGAAAUUUCAUUGCUCAACGAUGAAAGUGCAUUUGAAACUACAGGGCUAGAGUACAGGAGAGGAGCAUGGAAUUCUUGGUGUAGCGGUGAAAUGCGUAGAUAUCAAGAAGAACACCGGAGGCGAAGGCGAUGCUCUAGACUGAUACUGACACUGAGGCAUGAAAGCUGGGGGAGCAAACAGG